AGUGAACGCUGGCGGUAGGCCUAACACAUGCAAGUCGAACGGCAGCACAGUAAGAGCUUGCCCUUACGGGUGGCGAGUGGCGGACGGGUGAGGAAUACAUCGGAAUCUACUUUUUCGUGGGGGAUAACGUAGGGAAACUUACGCUAAUACCGCAUACGACCUACGGGUGAAAGCAGGGGAUCUUCGGACCUUGCGCGAUUGAAUGAGCCGAUGUCGGAUUAGCUAGUUGGCGGGGUAAAGGCCCACCAAGGCGACGAUCCGUAGCUGGUCUGAGAGGAUGAUCAGCCACACUGGAACUGAGACACGGUCCAGACUCCUACGGGAGGCAGCGGUGGGGAAUAUUGGACAAUGGGCGCAAGCCUGAUCCAGCCAUACCGCGUGGGUGAAGAAGGCCUUCGGGUUGUAAAGCCCUUUUGUUGGGAAAGAAAAGCAGCAGGUUAAUACCCCGCUGUUCUGACGGUACCCAAAGAAUAAGCACCGGCUAACUUCGUG
rnacentral:rRNA from 1 species